GUCCAUGUAGCUUAAAUAAAGCAUGACACUGAAGAUGUCAAGAUGGCUGCCACAAACACCCAUGGACA
rnacentral:tRNA from 2 species